UUUUUUAUAGUUGUUGAUUAUGAUGUCUCGGCCUCCUAAUGAAAUAAGAUGAUAUGACUUGUUAUCUCAUUUCGUCUUGAAAUAAAAUGAAAAGCGCACAAGAAAAUUUAGUAAAAAUAUAAAUAAAAGUAAUAGAAUCCCUUUAGAUUUAAUUAAUUUUGCCAAGUAAUAUUCCAGUACAACCAUGUCUAUGCUACGUUUUUUCUUUUUUUCUAAAAUAUUUGUUAUGUUUUUUCCAAACCCUUCCUUCUCCACUCCC
rnacentral:lncRNA from 1 species